CUACGUGCCAGCAGCCGCGGUAAUACGGGGGGUGCGAGCGUUAAUCGGAAUAACUGGGCGUAAAGGGCACGCAGGCGGUGACUUAAGUGAGAUGUGAAAGCCCCGAGCUUAACUUGGGAAUUGCAUUUCAUACUGGGUCGCUAGAGUACUUUAGGGAGGGGUAGAAUUCCACGUGUAGCGGUGAAAUGCGUAGAGAUGUGGAGGAAUACCGAAGGCGAAGGCAGCCCCUUGGGAAUGUACUGACGCUCAUGUGCGAAAGCGUGGGGAGCAAACAGGAUUAGAUACCCUGGUAGUCCACGCUGUAAACGAUGUCGAUUUGGGGAUUGGGCUUUGAGCUUGGUGCCCGUAGCUAACGUGAUAAAUCGACCGCCUGGGGAGUACGGCCGCAAGGUUAAAACUCAAAUGAAUUGACGGGGGCCCGCACAAGCGGUGGAGCAUGUGGUUUAAUUCGAUGAUAACCGAAGAACCUUACCAGGGCUUGACAUCCAG
rnacentral:rRNA from 1 species